rnacentral:lncRNA from 1 species
GACAUAAAAAGCAAAUUGUCUGUAAAAAGCCCCAAGCAAUUUGCGCGUCAGCCUUUUUAAGUUGGUGUAAUAUUAGCCACACUUACACUCAGUAUUGUAAACUACAGUUGUCAAAGGCACCUGCGUCUCCCAGCGUUUACCAACAUUUAGAUUUUGUGUUAAAGAAAAAAGAAAAAAAGAAUUCACUGGUAAUCUUCUGAGGAGUUAAACCAGAAGUAGAUCUGGAAAAUAUGUUAACCAGUCUUCAAAAGUAUUUCCGUUCCCGGAAGUCUUCACACCCUUUGUGACUAUGCCUUUUGUGACAUUUCCACACAUGUGACCUUCACACUCACCACGUUGAUUCCAACAGACAAGUCGUGGUCAGGGUUUUAUAGAGAUGGUAAGCAGCUUGGCUAAAGGUUAUUACUAUGAAGGCUCGGAGGGGGAGACCGAGUGCUCUCGCUGAAGCGAAUUCAAAGGAGUUACUCAUCUUGUGUGCAUUUCCAUGGAACCUCAUCAUCAGUUCGGGUGUCUACAACCUUCAUUGUGGAGUGGAUGAACCAAGAAGUGGGAUUUCACCAGACAUCAACCUUGAUCAACACCUUGAUCUCGGACUUCCCAGUCUCCAGAACUAUGAGAAAUGAAUUCCUGUUGUUUAUAAGCCACUGCAUCUAUGGGACUUUGUUAUAGCAGCCCAAAGUGACCAAGACAUCAUUCAACAUUGCUCACCAUCUCAGUCUUAGAGUACUUUUGAAUGGUGACUUCCUUUCUUAGGUGACAUAACUCACUACUAGUCAUCUCAAUUUGUGGGUGGAAAUAAAACACUUACAUCAUCCUGAUUCA